CGCCCCCCAGCCUGCUGCCCCUGGAGGAGCGGGCGGCCCACUUCCGAGACAUGCUCCUGGAACGCCGGGUGUCUGCCUUCUCCACCUGGGAGAAAGAGCUGCAUAAAACUGUGUUCGACCCCCGCUACCUGCUGCUGAACUCCGGGGAGCGGAAGCAGGUGUUCGAGCAGUUUGCCAAGACCAGAGUCAGAGAGGAGCGCAAGGAGAGGCGGAGCAGGCUGCUGCGCGCCAAGCAGGCCUUCCGGGAGCUCCUGGGGGAGUCGAAG